GACGAACGCUGGCGGCGUGCUUAACACAUGCAAGUCGAACGGAAAGGCCCUGCUUGCAGGGUAUUCGAGUGGCGAACGGGUGAGUAACACGGGGGUGAACUGCCCUGCACUUCGGGAUAAGCCUGGGAAACUGGGUCUAAUACCGGAUAGGAGACAUUUUUAGUGUGAUGGGUGGAAAGUUUUUUCGGUGUAGGAUUAGCUAGCGGCCUAUCAGCUUGUUGGUGGGGUAAUGGCUUACCAAGGCGGCGAGGGGUAGCCGGCCUGAGAGGGUGGACGGCCACAAUGGGGCUGAGAGACGGCCCAGACUCCUACGAGAGGCAACAGGGGGGAAUAUUGCACAAUGGGCGCAAGCCUGAUGCAGCAGCGCCGCGUGGGGGAUGACGGCCUUCGGGGUGUAAACACCUUUCGCUAGGGACGAAGCUUUUUGUGACGGUACCUAGAUAAGAAGCACCGGCUAACUACGUG
rnacentral:rRNA from 1 species